GAAGUGUUGGCAAUGCUGCCUGCCAUGCCUUGACACAAGGCAGGCUUCUGAGGCAUAGUUACAUAUCUAAGCCUGCUUCAUGGACUCUUUGCUAAGAUAAAUUAUUUUCCAAGGCAUGUCAUGUGAAAGGUAUAUUCUGCCAAGAAGCCCAUCUUUGUCCAAG